UGGUAGGAAAGGUAAAUGGGGGUGGGGGUGGGGGUGGGGGUGUGUAACAGGGCAUUUGUUACGCACACGGACUUAGGCAGCCAUUCAAUGCCCCACCGAACGCUCAUUUCCUCCUCUUCUUCUUCCUCCUUCUCCUCUUCUGCUGUUGCGUCACUCUUCUUCAGCCCUUCGCCACCGCGCCCUUCGCGUCUUGCGCCUGUACCAACCUCGGCUUGCUCCCACUGCCCUCAGGUGGAGAAAGAAACCGGCAUGGAAGCGCUGAGGGCCACUUCGAGGCCGGAGCUUCUGUACACGGGGCAGCAGAAGCAGAACCAGGGGGUUUUGAGCGAGGAGGCGGGUUGGUUUCUUGAAAGAGGGAACCUGGUAGGUGAGGGGUUCUCUGUCGACGACCUCCUUAACCUGGGUGAGUUCGCGGAGAACGAGAUGGAAGCGGAGGAGGACGAAGCUGGGAGAGAAUUUGGAACCGACGCGGAAGCAACGCAUAAUGAGACAGAGCGCUCUUCUUCUCCUUCCUCCUCUUCGGGUCUAACCUUCGAGCUUCCACCACCGCCUCCUCUUUCGGAUAUCUGUCUGCCGGCGCAUGAUGCUGAAGAACUGGAGUGGGUUUCCCUCAUCAUCGACGACUCCAUCCCGGAGUUCCCACCGCCGUGUUCCGGCGUUGCAUCCCUUUCACCACCGCCGAGCGACGCCCAAAGUGAGAAUCGCCAAGCCCGCGGCGCCGUGCCGCAAGGUCAAGGCCCCUCUUCGGGUCCUACCGUUUGCGCUCUCUCCACCGAAGCGGCGGUUCCGGUCAAGGCCAAGCGGAGCAAGCGCUUCCGCAGUGCCGCUGCCGCCUGGGCCAUGUCCGGCCCGCUCCCCUUCUCGGACUCCUCCUCGUCCUCCACCACUACCUCCGCCUCCUCAUGCUCCUCCACGUCUUCCUCCUCCCCUUUCCUCAUACACGACCCCUCCGCCAUCGCCGUCGACCAAAGCUUCCUCCUUUUCGGCCACCCGACGCCGCCCGAGAAGCAGAACCCGAAGAAACGCGGCCGCAAGCCCAAAGCGCCGCCACCAUCUUCCUCCACCGCCUCCGGCGAACGGCGGUGCAGCCACUGCGGUGUCCAGAAGACGCCGCAGUGGCGGGCCGGCCCGCUCGGCGCCAAGACCCUCUGCAACGCCUGCGGCGUCCGCUUCAAAUCCGGCCGUCUCCUCCCAGAGUACCGCCCGGCCUGCAGCCCCACCUUUGUCAGCCACAUGCACUCUAACAGCCACCGCAAGGUGCUGGAGAUGCGCCGGAAGAAGGAGGCGGAGCUCGUCGCGCCCCCCGUCGCCUCCUUCUGAGCCCGGUGGCGCCCGUCCGGCCCAGCAUCCGGUUCGAGUGUACAUGUCGGACUCCCUUUUAGUCGCAGUCUCUCUGUAACAGAUUGGAUUUUGUUCUUCUCUUUUAGGUUAUAGGGAGAGGCACCUUUCCAUUAUUCACCUCUGUGCUUUCACCGAGACAAAGUGAAUGGGGGGAGUAGAGACAACACAAAAUUUUAGUGGGUUAUCAUGAACAUGAAGAUGAUUGACCAGACUACUCUUUUCUGCCCAAAGAGGAAAGUGUUGUGUGCCACCAUAUUGAUCAUAGAGAGGUAGAUGGAUCGGCAUCAACCUUAGUGUGCUGGUUUUAGUUUCUGAGCAUCUGAUAUUUCUCGUUUCUUGCUCCUCUUCUGUCCCCGUUUCUUCUUUUGUUUGGGUUCUCAGGACUGUUUCUUUGUUGUUCUUGUGCACAUUAAAUGUUCUACGUGGGUUGAUCUCUUUUCUCAGCUGAUGUCUGGAUGUUUUCGUUUGGCAUCACCCACCUCCAUCCAAUCCCAACCUAACGCAACGCCGUGGGGGCAACGUCGACGUCAAACGAUGUGUUCAAAGAUCAAAACCAGACGGUCUUCUUCUUUUACCCGUUCUUCCUCCGAGGGGUAAACUAACGAACUGCUCAACGCGCACGCAUAGCUGUGAUCACCGGAAAGAGUGGAUGACGCUCUGCUUGCAGUCGGCGCAGGACCGAGCGAGUCAUGUGCCAUGGCGUGCAAGGCAAGCGACGAGUGGGGUCUCGCCAUCCUCCACCUGAAAAGCUUCAUUUGGACAUGGAAGCUUCCCGCACACCAUGUGAUGAUGAUGCAUCUCAAACAACACAGACUGAUUCAAGGAUUUUUUCA